AGACCAUUUCAGCACGUUGCAAAGCCUGGGAACAACAAAAUUAUAGAUAUAUGAGAGCAAGAUUACACAAGGGCUCGUCGCCUCAGGGCAGCGACAACGUGACAAAAGGAAGGAAGUCCUCAAGCUUUUCUCAUGUCUCAUCCUUCCUGCUCGUCGUUAACAAUAAAGACAGGAAACUACAGCGCGGAAACAGUCACAUGUCGACCAACGUGAGAAAGAAGAAGCAGCGAGCACAAAAACCUAGCAAGAAAAAGAAGAGAGAAAAGGUUUCCACAGAACAAACCAACGAGGCCUUCGGCUCCAACGCCCCGGAGUUCGUGGCGUUCCUGGAUCAGAUGAUCAGAUGGUUUUCCGAGCAUCAGCAACAGGUUGAUCAGCUGUUCGGCCCCAGCGACCCGGACGGGAGUGGACGGGUGCACCUGAAGGACUUUUGUCUGGGCCUGAUGAACCUGGACGUCCCCUGUCAGCGCGCUCAGCUCCAGACACUGACUCAGCUGCUGAAGAACGCCGGCAACACGAUACGUUAUCGAGGCUUGAACGGACAAGUGCAGAGUGUGAGGCUGGGGGUCGGGAGCCUAGAGGUCGGUGCUCAAACAGCUGAGAGAGGAGACGUGGGGAGAUUCGUCCGCCUCAGGCUCAGACUUGUUCCAUUUGACUCCUCUGCAGCCCAUCCAGGGAACUUUGAGGUGAUUCUGCCAAGCAGCACCAAAGUGGCCGGUCUGACGAGGAUCAUCCAGGACCGGGUCGGGAUCCAGACCCGCAGGCUGGAGGUGUUCCCGAGCCGGCAGACCGCAGCGGAGGCCUGCCUGCCCCCGGAGCGCACGCUGGAGGAGUGCGGCUUCAUAGGAGGGCCGGAGGAGAGCCCUGCAGAGGACACGGUGUACUACGACUACAGCCUGACGCUCGCAGACUGUCCACUCCUCAACUGCGACCACUACUUCAGGCUGGAACCAGAUCCUGCUGCCAGACGAACUAGAACCUGUUGA
rnacentral:lncRNA from 1 species